CUACGGGAGGCUGCAGUGAGGAAUAUUGGUCAAUGGGCGCGAGCCUGAACCAGCCAUCCCGCGUGCAGGAUGACGGCCCUAUGGGUUGUAAACUGCUUUUCAAUGCCAAGAAACCUGAUUACGUGUAAUCAGUUGCCGGUAGCAUAGGAAUAAGCAUCGGCUAACUCCGUGCCAGCAGCCGCGGUAAUACGGAGGAUGCAAGCGUUAUCCGGAUUCAUUGGGUUUAAAGGGUGCGCAGGUGGGCUUGUAAGUCAGUGGUGAAAUGCUGCCGCUUAACGGUAGAACUGCCAUUGAUACUGCGAGUCUUGAGUAUGGUUGAGGUAGGCGGAAUGUGUUGUGUAGCGGUGAAAUGCAUAGAUAUGACACAGAACGCCAAUUGCGAAGGCAGCUUACUAAGCCAUUACUGACGCUGAGGCACGAAAGCGUGGGGAGCGAACAGGAUUAGAUACCCUCGUAGUC
rnacentral:rRNA from 1 species